UGCCAGCCGCCGCGGUAACACGGGGGGCGCAAGCGUUAUUCGGAAUUAUUGGGCGUAAAGGGCGCGCAGGCGGUCUUGUCCGUCAGGUGUGAAAGCUCGGGGCUCAACCCCGGAAGUGCACUUGAAACAGCAAGACUUGAAUACGGUAGAGGAGAGAGGAAUUCCUGGUGUAGAGGUGAAAUACGUAGAUAUCUGGAAGAACACCAGAGGCGAAGGCGAUCUCUUGGCCCGUGACUGACGCUGAGGCUCGAAAGCGUGGGUAGCGAACAGGAUUAGAUA
rnacentral:rRNA from 1 species